GACGAACGCUGGCGGCGUGCCUAAUACAUGCAAGUAGAACGCUGAAGGAGGAGCUUGCUUCUCUGGAUGAGUUGCGAACGGGUGAGUAACGCGUAGGUAACCUGUCUGGUAGCGGGGGAUAACUAUUGGAAACGAUAGCUAAUACCGCAUAAUAGUAGAUGUUGCAUGACAUUUGCUUAAAAGGUGCAAUUGCAUCACUACCAGAUGGACCUGCGUUGUAUUAGCUAGUUGGUGGGGUAACGGCUCACCAAGGCGACGAUACAUAGCCGACCUGAGAGGGUGAUCGGCCACACUGGGACUGAGACACGGCCCAGACUCCUACGGGAGGCAGCAGUAGGGAAUCUUCGGCAAUGGACGGAAGUCUGACCGAGCAACGCCGCGUGAGUGAAGAAGGUUUUCGGAUCGUAAAGCUCUGUUGUAAGAGAAGAACGAGUGUGAGAGUGGAAAGUUCACACUGUGACGGUAUCUACCAGAAAGGGACGGCUAACUACGUG
rnacentral:rRNA from 1 species